CCCUUAGAUGUUCUGGGCCGCACGCGCGCUACACUGUUCGACGCAGCGAGUCUUAACCUUGACCGAAAGGUUUGGGUAAUCUUCAGCAAAGUCGAACGUGAUGGGGAUCGAUCAUUGCAAUUAUUGAUCGUGAACGAGGAAUUCCUAGUAAGUGCAAGUCAUCAGCUUGCGCUGAUUACGCCCCUGCCCUUUGUACACACCGCCCGUCGCUACUACCGAUUGAAUGGUUUAGUGAGAUCUCUGGAUUGACGCUGGCUAGGGGGCGACCCUUGGCCAGACUGCUCGAGAAACUGCUCAAACUUGAUCAUUUAGAGGAAGUAAAAGUCGUAACA
rnacentral:rRNA from 1 species